rnacentral:piRNA from 1 species
UGGACAGGUGCUUUCUGAAUGUUUACAGGGA